UACGAAGGGGGCUAGCGUUGCUCGGAAUCACUGGGCGUAAAGCGCACGUAGGCGGAUCUUUAAGUCGGGGGUGAAAUCCUGGAGCUCAACUCCAGAACUGCCUUCGAUACUGUAGAUCUUGAGUCCGGGAGAGGUGAGUGGAACUGCGAGUGUAGAGGUGAAAUUCGUAGAUAUUCGCAAGAACACCAGUGGCGAAGGCGGCUCACUGGCUCAUAUCUGACGCUCAGGCGCGACAGCGUGGGGAUCAAACAGG
rnacentral:rRNA from 1 species